GAGACAGCAUCCGCCGCGGGAAUACGUAGGGUGCAAGCGUUAAUCGGAAUUACUGGGCGUAAAGCGUGCGCAGGCGGUUAUAUAAGACAGAUGUGAAAUCCCCAGGCUCAACCUGGGAACUGCAUUUGUGACUGUAUAGCUAGAGUACGGCAGAGGGGGAUGGAAUUCCGCGUGUAGCAGUGAAAUGCGUAGAUAUGCGGAGGAACACCGAUGGCGAAGGCAAUCCCCUGGGCCUGUACUGACGCUCAUGCACGAAAGCGUGGGGAGCAAACAGGAUUAGAUACCCCGGUAGUCCCUGUCUCUUAUAC
rnacentral:rRNA from 1 species